rnacentral:rRNA from 1 species
GACAGAGGGUGCAAACGUUGCUCGGAAUCACUGGGCGUAAAGGGCGUGUAGGCGGAUCUGUAAGUCAGGCGUGAAAGCCCCGGGCUCAACCCGGGAAUUGCGCUUGAUACUGUUGCGCUUGAAUCCAGGAGAGGAUGGCGGAAUUCCCAGUGUAGAGGUGAAAUUCGUAGAUAUUGGGAAGAACACCAGUGGCGAAGGCGGCCAUCUGGCCUGGAAUUGACGCUGAGGCGCGAAAGCGUGGGGAGCAAACAGG